UCCAGCCACACACACCGCACACCACUGUCUCCUUCCAGGCCUGACAUAGCCUGAGGUGACCACUGCAGGGAGGUGGGUGUAGGGAUGUGCUUCCAUGAAAUCAGGGCCUUCUGUACUGUCUAUGCAGCUUCCUGUGGACUUACAAUAAUUCCAAAGCAAGAGUCUUACAUGCACCCUAGCUUUUAAUGAUGAGAACAGUGAAUCCAUGCAGAAGAAAGUGAAAUCACAGGCAAAAACACAAAAUGAAAGCUUUUCCACCCUGGCUGUGACCAGACUCGUUCCCACGCCACGAAGGAGAACGAACACUUUGCUUUUCUUUCAGAAGAUUCUCUGUGCGUAUUAAAUGUUCAAAGUCAAGGUGUUGGUGGGUCCCAAGCCCUCUGGAGGAGAUAGGCAAGACUCUGUUGCCUCUCACACCUUGAGGUGCUUCUCUAACAAGGUGCUGAGUGCUGAGAACAGGGGCCAUUUUAUAAGCACCUCAACGAAGCCGUUGCCGCCAGCAGUUGGAUCAUCCUAGGGGAGUCCUGACUUUGAGAUGGUUUUAUCAAUUCUCUGUAAAUCACACCUGUGUUUCACAUACUCAACUAUUCAAUAAAUUGAUCAAAGCUGA